GGCCAAGUUUUUAAGGGCGCACGGUGGAUGCCUUGGCACCAGGAACCGAUGAAGGACGUGGGAGGCCACGAUAGUCCCCGGGGAGUCGUCAACCAGGCUUUGAUCCGGGGGUUUCCGAAUGGGGAAACCCGGCAGUCGUCAUGGGCUGUCACCCAUACCUGAACACAUAGGGUAUGUGGAGGGAACGCGGGGAAGUGAAACAUCUCAGUACCCGCAGGAAGAGAAAACAACCGUGAUUCCGGGAGUAGUGGCGAGCGAAACCGGAUGAGGCCAAACCGUAUACGUGUGAGACCCGGCAGGGGUUGCGUAUGCGGGGUUGUGGGAUCUCUCUUUCACAGUCUGCCGGCUGUGAGGCGAGUCAGAAACCGCUGAUGUAGACGAAGGACAUGCGAAAGGUCCGGCGUAGAGGGUAAGACCCCCGUAGUCGAAAUGUCAGCGGCUCGUUUGAGAGACACCCAAGUAGCACGGGGCCCGAGAAAUCCCGUGUGAAUCUGGCGGGACCACCCGCUAAGCCUAAAUAUUCCCUGGUGACCGAUAGCGGAUAGUACCGUGAGGGAAUGGUGAAAAGUACCCCGGGAGGGGAGUGAAAUAGUACCUGAAACCGUGUGCCUACAAGCCGUGGGAGCGUCGGAACAAGGCUUGCCUUGUUCUCGUGACUGCGUGCCUUUUGAAGAAUGAGCCUGCGAGUUUGCGGUGUGUUGCGAGGUUAACCCGUGUGGGGAAGCCGUAGCGAAAGCGAGUCCGAACAGGGCGAUUCAGUAGCGCGCUCAAGACCCGAAGCGGAGUGAUCUAGCCAUGGGCAGGUUGAAGCGGAGGUAAGACUUCGUGGAGGACCGAACCCACCAGGGUUGAAAACCUGGGGGAUGACCUGUGGUUAGGGGUGAAAGGCCAAUCAAACUCCGUGAUAGCUGGUUCUCCCCGAAAUGCAUUUAGGUGCAGCGUCGUGUGUUUCUUGCCGGAGGUAGAGCACUGGAUAGGCGAUGGGCCCUACCGGGUUACUGACCUUAGCCAAACUCCGAAUGCCGGUAAGUGAGAGCGCGGCAGUGAGACUGUGGGGGAUAAGCUCCAUGGUCGAGAGGGAAACAGCCCAGAGCAUCGACUAAGGCCCCUAAGCGUACGCUAAGUGGGAAAGGAUGUGGAGUCGCACAGACAACCAGGAGGUUGGCUUAGAAGCAGCCACCCUUGAAAGAGUGCGUAAUAGCUCACUGGUCUAGUGAUUCCGCGCCGACAAUGUAGCGGGGCUCAAGCGUACCGCCGAAGUCGUGUCAUUCCAGCAUGAGGGCCAACGCCCGCUGGGAUGGGUAGGGGAGCGUCGUGUGCCGGGUGAAGCAGCCGCGGAAGCGAGUUGUGGACGGUUCACGAGUGAGAAUGCAGGCAUGAGUAGCGAUACAAACGUGAGAAACGUUUGCGCCGAUUGACCAAGGGUUCCUGGGUCAAGCUGAUCUGCCCAGGGUAAGUCGGGACCUAAGGCGAGGCCGACAGGCGUAGUCGAUGGAUAACCGGUUGAUAUUCCGGUACCCGCUGUGAAGCGUCAAACAUCGAACCAGGCGAUGCUAAGUCCGUGAAGCCGCCCCGGAGCCUUCGGGCAAAGGGGAGUGGUGGAGCCGACGAACCAGACUUGCAGUAGGUGAGUGAUGGGGUGACGCAGGAAGGUAGUCCAUCCCGGGCGGUGGUUGUCCCGGGGUAAGGGUGUAGG
rnacentral:rRNA from 1 species